rnacentral:misc_RNA from 1 species
AGUAAAAACGAUUCGGAAGCGGCGAAGCCACAGAGUCUCCCCCCCCUCUCUCUCUCUGCGCGUGUCUGUGUGUGUGCCUGCGUUCUGCCGCCACCGCCGCCCUCUCUGUUACCCCCCCGACCACCUCCAUCACCGCCAUCAGCGGAUCUACAAGAAGAGCGCAUUCUCGCAAGCCUCCCUCACUUCCUGCUGGCCGACUGGCGUCUGUGCUACCAACACAGAGAUGGGCACCAAGGGCUCAAAGGCGGUGUCCUCGUCAUCGGCAGUGCCGGCUGCCGUGACCACCACUGGCGACAACAAAGGCACGAGCAACUGGUGGGAUGGCGCGGUGAGUGAUGCUAGCGACGCCGACCUCGGCCUCACGCCAGACGUCUCGCUCAGCUCAGAUAUUAGCACGCCAGAGGAGAACGCGGCGAAGCGCAAGGCCUACGCGCACCUGAAAUCGCCAUAUGCGAGGCACCGACCAGCAGCAUCGAUGAAGGGGCUUGGCAGCAGCGGCAACAACGGGGCGGAGGCAUCCGCCAACGCACACGUAAACCUCAUCGAGCAGAUCUACAACGAAGACUUCGAGACUAUCGACCACAUCCAGGCACUGCGCCUGCCGCCCAUGGUGGCGCGGCAGCUGCAGAACACUGUGCGAGACGAGGCGGAGAGGCACUGCGCGGAGGUGGAGAAGACAAUGGCACGCUGCCUGCAGGACAAGAUGUGGACCUCGUGGAAGUGCCAGAAGGAGCGCGACACGUACUACCACUGCGUCGAGGAGAUCGAGCAGCGCAAUCUGCGGCCGGACCCGACGAACCCGCACUGGGUCGACAUGCUCACAUCCUUCCGUUGGAAGUAUAACCUUGGCGUCUUCCAUGGCGAAAUUAUGGGGCGCAACAACAUUAUGAAGGAGAUUUGGCGUGAGCACUACCCAGAUCGCGAGUUGCCGCAUCCUUGGGUAAAGGACACAUAAGCCGUGUAAGCGCAUGUGCUGCGCGUCCCCAUCCCCUCCCGCGUCGUCGUUGUUGUGGCCAGCCAGAGAGGAGGGCGAGGGGGCGCGCCCCUCUCUGUCUUGCGCCUCAUGUCAGUGCUGUUCCUCGCGUGUUUUGCGCUUGCGUUGUGGCGUGUGCUCUGUUCUCUGUUCGACGUCCGUAACACGUCCCACCUGUUCACAUCCGCACUCUUCGCCGGUGUGCUCUGGC